CAGUACCCCCGUCCCUUUUUUUUUUUCCUUUAUCAUCUCUCUUCUCAUUUAUCUUUUCAAAUGGCUAGGGUUUCUUCUCUCUGGAUCUUCAGUGCGAUUCAACAAAAACUCAGUGUUUUCUUUGUAGAUCCAACAUAAAUUUCUUCCUCUCUCAAUCUCAAACGUCUGACAAGGUAUCUUCAUUAGGCAUCUUCAUCAUCAACACCGUUUCUACACAGGGUUUUUAGGGCUUGCAGAAGUUAUCAUCUGGUGAUGAAAAAGGCGAUGACUUGAUACGCGUCUUGAGGGAACUUACCUCCGUGCAAAGGAAAAUUGCGGAUUUGCAAGUUGAACGUCGACCGAAUUAUAGCCCGUCUUCAACAACCAUAUUCAUUAGAUUGUAUUCCUGUGGAAGCAGAAAUCCAGAAACAAUUCUCGGAAUUAUAAUGAAGGCUGCCAAUGAUUAUGGUCUUCUAACAUCAUCUGUUGCAGAUUUUCAGUGGACUCAAAACUUUAAAGAGCCACCCUCUGUCUGGGGGGGUAUGUCCAUAACAGCUGAUUGUAUUUUUUUUAUAAAUGUAUAGAUGUUCAAAUUAUGUAUUAUAUCCAUCUGGUCAAUUAGUUAAAAUUAAAUCAUUGAAAAAGAAAGAGAGAUUGAAUGAGAAGUUCUUAGAUGAUAUAUGCGGAGAAUCACCAGCUGGAGUACGGAAAUAUGUAAAUCACGUGCAUCUAUAUUCACCAACACAUAUAUAGGUUAUUCGCUCUGACGGUUCAAAAUGAUAAUUUUUGGUUGCUUCAGGUUGAUAAAGACUGCAUAUUGGUAGUAUACUUAGGUGGAAUGGGUGCAGGAAGAGGUAGUACGAUGUUGCUAUAACUUGGGGCAAGAUAGAAGAACAUGAUCUCGGAAUCCGCGGACGAAUAAAGAAUAUGGUUGAACAUUCGGUUUAUUCUUUAAGGGUUCCCAGAUGACAAAAUAACGAUAUUAUUCUUAUUGUUUAUAUCUCUUUUUAUUUGUGCAGUCUAUCUAACUUGAAAAUGGGAAACAACUUUGUUCCAUUAGUCGACAGUUUGAGCUCGUGGGCCAUCACGAGUUCAAUCCAAAAGGGUAACAAGUUUCUCAAGAAAAAAGUACUUGUAGAAAUGUUGGUAUGCAUAAAGCACUUAAGAAUUUUUUUUGAUAGAGGUGACACUAUGCGAAGAGCUUGCUAAUACAGUGGAUAAAAGCGUUUUCAUCCUGCCGCUAUCUAUAUCUUGCUAAUACAGUGGAUAAAAGUUUUUUUUUUUUUUUUGAUUCUUUACAUUUCAUUGUCUUCUAUAGUUUUUGACUUAAGUUUAUUUUGAUCAUUACUUCAUUCAUUGUCUUCUAUAGUUUUUGACUUGAGUUUAUUUUGAUCAUUACUUCAAUUAUAGUUUUUGACUAAUAAACAAUCAGAUUACGAACCUCAACUGCAUGAAACAAGCAAAAAUUGCUUUGCUCAUCUUUGUUUGUGGUAUAAUUGUUCAUAUUGGAGUUUGAUUAUCGAAGCAAAUGUUUAUCUUUUUUUAUAUGUUUAUUAUCAUGGUUAUUUUCACAUACUCGGGUCAGGGACGAGACUUACAAUGCAUUUGAAUUCAGGAAGAACCAACAAUGAGCUAUAGAUGUAGAUAAAGUUCGAAAAGUUGUUGGUUUGUUGGACAAGACAGAUACUAAGCUACCAAAAGGCGGAGAGGCAUGUUCGGUUAAAUAGAUUAAAUUUUAUCGUUUAAGUUUCAUAUAUUGUCUCAUGUUAUAUGAUUAUGUUUUUAAAAUAGUGUUUUAAUCUGAGAAAAAGUGAAACCACUGUUUUGGGUUAAAACAGUGUUUUGAAACCACUUUUAGGUUAAAACAGUUUUUGAAACCACUGUUGGGUUAAAACAGUGUUUUGAAACCACUUUUGGGUUAACAGUGUUUCAAACCAUUGUUGGUUUAAAACAGUGUUUCAAACCAUUGUUGGUUUAAAACAGUGUUUGAAACCACUGUUU